UACGAAGGGGGCUAGCGUUGCUCGGAAUUACUGGGCGUAAAGGGCGCGUAGGCGGAUAUUUAAGUCGGGGGUGAAAGCCCAGGGCUCAACCCUGGAAUUGCCUUCGAUACUGGAUAUCUUGAGUUCGGGAGAGGUGAGUGGAAUGCCGAGUGUAGAGGUGAAAUUCGUAGAUAUUCGGCGGAGCACCAGUGGCGAAGGCGACUCACUGGCCCGAUACUGACGCUGAGGCGCGAAAGCGUGGGGAGCAAACAGG
rnacentral:rRNA from 1 species